GGCUCCCUCCAGAGGCCCGCGGGGACCGAGGUUCCCUCCAGAGGCCCCGCGGGGACCGAGCCCGCCCGCGGCCCCUCCCCUCCCGGGCCACCCCUCGCAGGGCAGGCGAGGGCUCGGCCCGGGGCCCCGGGGAGCCGGACCUGGUGCCUGGGUGAGGCACAGCCCUACUUUGGCACUUUCCAGCGUUGCACCAUUUUCUUGCUUUUGGCAGAGGAUUGCUGAGCCCUCUCGAGCGUUAGUGGUUGAGGGCUUUUGCGGCUCAUGAAGGAUAUAGAUCUAUUGCUUCACAGGUAAAAGACAGCAUCUUCCCUUCAAAGAAGCUUUACAAGACUAAAUGAACUAUUUGAUUAUGUAGCAAUAUCUGUGAGCAUCUUGCUUUGCCUCAGGAUGCAGACAGAUGCUUACACUGGACAAAACCCAGGAAUUAAAGUAUGCAAUGAAAGAAAAAUUAGGUGGUAAGACUCUGAUCAUGCUACAAAUAAUGGGUUUUCUACUGAUUUUUUGAAAUCUGGAUUUCAUACAGGGAAAUACUGAAUUCAGUUCUGAACAGAAAAAAAGAUGUCUUGAGUUAAUUUAGUACUGUAUCCAGUAGCAUCCGUGGGCAAAAUGGUUGUGAUCCUCUUCUCAGCCACACAGGUGUAAGUCAGCCAUACAUCUGUCUAAACUCAUAAAGUUGCAAUAGUUUUCACAAAAGGAAAAUCAAGUGCUUCAAUGCGUUUUCCCCCAACCUCUUAAUUAAGUUUAGUUUUCACUGAUAAGUUUCUUUACAAGCAGGUCAAACCAUAACUAAUGCUGCAUGCAUGCACAAGCAUGCAGUACUGCUGCCUGGUUCACUAUCUGUUCUAGUUUUCAUGCACUAUAAUGAAUACAAAUAAUUAUCUCUGUUUAGCUUUUUUCUUGCAGUAACACUUAAGAUAUCACCUGAUUUUUCUUCCCAGGCAUCCUAGAAAAAGGUGAAGGAGAAAGGCUUGAAACUAGAUUUUCAUAAAGUAAUAAGAACAAAAACCAAACAUAGACUUGCUAAUUUCAAUCCUGCUAAGUCCUGAGUGUUUCUGGGGGGACAUGAUCACUCUUAAACCAAACUGACUCCAGCCUGAAAUGCUGAGGAAUGUGCUGCUGCUCAGCUUGAGGGGAACCAUGAAAAAGAGACUGAUACCAUGACUUAGGUAAAGGCUGCACUGAUACUGAUUAAAGAUUGGAUCAGGAGGCAAAUGAGAAUGAAAGAUCUUACUGGUAAACAAGUGCAGUGCAUGGAUUUGUGUUCCUGUCCAGAUACCGUGCGGGGGUAGUAUUUGUCUCUGACCUUCUCCAAAAUGAAUGGUUUAUUUGUAUUGCAUUUAUUUUUACUUUUUCCUGGGUGAUAAUGUACGCAAUCAGAAAUUUUGAAGACCACAUGUGUUUCAGGCAUAUGGGGAAGAACAAACAACUCAGAGCUCCUUCAUGUUAUGUAACAUAGGCAGAUGAUAAUAUAGACAUGAGUUUUGACAGGCUUGAAAUUAUGUAAGCUACACACAUACUCUGGAUUUUAAUCCUCUGGCUUUGCACUCUUCAUUCACAUGAGCAAAUUCCACCAGAGUCAGUAAGACUACUCUCACAUAAAUCACAUAUAUAAGGGAUACCUUGAAGAACCAAGUCCUAAAUUAUGUGUAUUAAAUAAAACUCUAAAAAUACAUUUAGAAAUAACCUUAAAGUGGGUAAUACUAAAACUGGGUAAACUCAUUCUUUUCCCUUUAUAUUUCCAGGCCUAGGCAGUUCUGUGAAUUAAGUUUUUUCCUCACUUAUUUUUUCCCUCAGAUCCUCUCUCUGUGUUAUUAAUAGAGGGAAGGCAGAAUUUAUGAAGUCACAAGGAGCCCUACAGAGAUAAAUCUGUGUAACUGUACAAUGGAAACUGACAGCUUUUGCAUGCGUAUUUCAGUUGCAUGUUUUCCAAAAUCUGAUCAGAGGUAUCAGUAUAUGAGUAUAUGCAAAAACACUCUCAUCUCUUCAAAAUUUCUUCUAAAUGCUUGUGGAAAAUCUAUUCAAUCUGUAAAAUAUAAGGACAUUUCAAAGUUAGCUACCAUUUGAGAAGCAGAAUGUUUGCUUUUGUAGCAUUAUUUGCUAUGCGUUUUUCUGCCAUAGUCUCUUGUGGUGACUUAUAAACUGAGUGUGUGAUUUUAGACUGGAUUACAAACUGCUUUCCUUUUAUAUCCUGUAAUAUCACCUGACCAGUAUCAGUGGGUCACAGCUUAAUUAGCUUAACAUUGGAUACACUUUUCUCUGAAGCAGCUGCAUCAUUGUUGUGCUAAGUAGGGCAAAUGCACUAAGUAUAUUUACAAUUUGAUGAUUAAUUGUCUCCAAUAUGUAGGAACUCAGGUAAAACCAUGAAUGAAAAAUGCUUUCAUCAGUGAAUUUCUGCUUACAACAGUCAGUAUGCUUGUUCUCACUAAAACUUACCUUGCUAGAUUUGAUAUGACAUUUUUUCUGCCAUCAAGACACUUCUGAGUUACUUUCGAGGGUUUGUUUAUUGCUUGUUAGUUGUUUUUCAUGGCCUAGAAAGAGGCAUGUGCUCCAAAACAGCAACAUCUAAUGCAAAAUAAUCACAUACCAGAGCACUGCACUUACAGCUCACAGUUAACAGCAGAUCAUGUUUGAAUGAUCCUUAUUAGCCUGUACAGAAGUCUGAAGGGGAUAAACAUCUCCAGUUCAGCUUCUUACUGCACUUCUCAACACUUCAAUGAUGUCAUGGGAAUAGGAAAGAGAAGAAGGCAAAACUAGAGCUGUUCAAGGGAUUAGUCUUUUUCCAGAAGGCAGGGAAGGUUGAGGGUAGAACAACUUCUCCUUACCUUUUCAUUAUUUCUAGAAUAUCUGGUUAUGCAUGAGAUAAACUAGAGUGUUUCACAUAAAAGGUGAAAUUUAGUAAAUAGAAAAUAAAUUGUGCUUUUAAAUUAAUACUUGGGUUGAUGAAAACUCUGAAAAUCCUUACUCAGCUCUUGCCUGGCACUCCGUUCCUGUAGGUACACAAUGUAUAAUGGUCUGGGCAAGUGGUCAGUGCUGAGGGUAGGGAAUUUGCUGAAAGGCAGCACCCAUGGGGUGGUGACAAAUGGCUCCUUUUCAAAGUGGUAGCCUGUCACAAGUGGGGUCCCCAAGGGAUUGAUAUUGGGCUUAACAUUGCUUAAUAUCUUUAUAAGUGAUCUGGAAGAUGGGAUCAAGAGUACCAUUAUAAAGUUGUCCAUGGUCCCAAAGGAGAAGCCUCCCUGCAGGAAGAUCUGGAUUGUCUGGAAGAUUGGGCUGACACGAACCCUAUGAAGUUCAACAAGGACAAGUGUAAGGUGUUGCAUCUAAAAAACAUAAUCUAGGAUUGCAGAGCAGGCUGAAAUCUGCCUGGCUGAGAAGCAGCUUUAUGGAGAGGGACGUUGGGGUCCUGAUGGACAAUAAAUUCAGAAUGAGUGACCAGUGUGCAGCUGGGGCAGAGGAGGCCAGCAGGAGGUUGGGCUGCAUCGACCAGAACAUCUCCAGCAGAGAUCAAGAAGUCAUUAUCCCACUUUAUUCAACAUUUGCCUGGCCUGGAAUACUGUGUUCAGCUAUACAAAAAAGAUGUAGACUGGUAGGACAGUCUCCAAAAGGAGGCCAAAAAGAUGAGCAAAGAAGGGGGAAACCUGAUGUAUGGGGAAAGGCUGAGAGAACUGGGCUUUUUCAGCCUUGGAAAAAGGAGGCUUAUGGGAGACAUUUUCACCCUCUAGUAUUUAAAGAAUGGCAACAAAGAUCAGAUGCCUUUCUUACAAGGAUUCUUAUAGAAAAGGUGAGAGGUAAUGUGUAAAAGUAACUCUUGGGGAGAUUAUGAUUGGACACAAGAUGAAAAAUAUUUGCAAUGAGAAUAAUCUCUCCAGAGAAGUGGUUGAUUGACUGAUAUUGGACAUCUUUGGGAUUAGUCUGGACAGGAUGCUGGGUCAUCUUGUCUAGACUAUGCUUUUGACAAGAAAGGCUGCACCAGAUAAUCCUGGAGGUCCCUUCCAAAUUUGCAUUCAAUGUGUCUGUGACUAUAUGAUCACAUUUCUUUAAGUAUAGCCUUCUUGCCCUUAACUGUGCUUCUGUUUCUGUGAAGUGCCUCAAUAACUCUCUGUUUAUGUUACCAGGCAGCCUACGCUACCCAGCGUCCAAACACUGUUCUAUUUGGAACACAUUUUGCAGUUGUACUACACACACAGCACCUGUCCAAUGUCAAAGUCAAUAGAGAAGGUUAUUGUGCUCUUCUUCUGUGUAAUAAAUGUGGUAAUGAAAAUA